GACGAACGCUGGCGGCGUGCUUAACACAUGCAAGUCGAACGGUGAAAGCGGAGCUUGCUCCGCUGGAUCAGUGGCGAACGGGUGAGUAACACGUGGGCAACCUGCCCCUCACUUCGGGAUAACUCCGGGAAACCGGGGCUAAUACCGGAUAUGACCUCCUUGGGCAUCCUUGGAGGUGGAAAGUUUUUCGGUGAGGGAUGGGCCCGCGGCCUAUCAGCUUGUUGGUGAGGUAGUGGCUCACCAAGGCGACGACGGGUAGCCGGCCUGAGAGGGCGACCGGCCACACUGGGACGGAGACACGGCCCAGACUCCUACGGGAGGCAGCAGUGGGGAAUAUUGCGCAAUGGGCGGAAGCCUGACGCAGCAACGCCGCGUGCGGGAUGACGGCCUUCGGGUUGUAAACCGCUUUCAGCAGGGAAGAAGCCGCAAGGUGACGGUACCUGCAGAAGAAGCACCGGCUAACUACGUGCCAGCAGCCGCCGUAA
rnacentral:rRNA from 1 species